UAUAUAUAUAUAAAUAUGUUGGUCUCACUCCUGGUUGAGCCACGUGGAAAGUCAAUCUCUAUGGCGAUGACACGUGUCUUCAUCUGUGCACAAAUAUACUUCAUAACCGGGCUUAUGUUUGUUUAAGACGAGAUGUAUACGUUGGGCUUCGAUUUACAUUAAAGAAAGGCCUAUAUGCUCUGCAAAAGGAGUAAGUGUUCAACAGGUCGUCUGCGAUGUCUAAAAACUGCGUUUCAUUUAUGGUAUAUGUUUAAUGGGCUGCGUUUAUGUGGGCUUACUGUGUAACUUAAACAGUCCAAAACCUAGAAACUUUAGGUUUCAUUCUCUGACGACGAUGAUACUCUUUCUGGCUUUUCAAUCGUCUUCAAUCGCGUCCUUUAGUCUUCUGUGCUGAUUAACCGAAACGUUUUGAACAGACUCAUUCCCUUUAUCUCCUUCUUAACUCCAUCAACCACAAACCGACAUUCAAUGGAUCUUUCUCUUCUGUAAAGCCGUGUGUAUCUACACCUAUAAAAAGGUUAGCUUUCUACUCUUGAAAAACAUUCUCUUAAUCCGUGAAAACAAAAUAGUAACCGAGAAACGUUUACCUGUCUCCAUCAGCUUCACAUCAAAUUUUAGGGUUCAUACUCCUCUUCGAUCUCUUUAUAGGUUCUCUGAGAGCUUUGAGAGAUUGAGUUGAGCUGAUGGACUAAGUAACAAGAUGGACAGCCAUGGAGCAAGGGACGGAGAGAUAGAAAAGGGAAUUGCUACAGUUCAAGCUAUCACAUGGGAGGUCGGACAGUGUGAGUUUAUAAGAACUGCAAACUUUUUUUGUAUGAAAAGGGGAAUGAAUGAUUGUGUGUUUGCAGGAAAACAGGUUCGUGCUUUGGAUUUUUUUUUUAAAUGGAGGGAUGGAAGUUGCGGUGGAGGAGUCUGUCAUGAAUGCAUAGCUUCUCAUGAGGAUGUUGCUCAAAUUCGAUGUCAUCAAAGGAGAAGGGAAAGCUAGAGUAAAACGAUAACGCAGAGUCAAUGUUUCAUCUACUGCAUUCUUCAUCUGUCUGCAUCACCUAUGUUUACCCAAUCAGAAUGUCAACAACAGUGGUGAACGAUAUGCAUCAGGUGACAAGAUAGCCGGGGCUGGGAUUGGAUGAGCUUGAGCAGCUAGAACAUCCAGGAUAUACAUCACAGGUAAAUAAGAUCCACAAAGUCCCGGUCUGAUGCUUGAUCAACUAUCUGACCCAAAAGAAAGGAGGUGAUGUUAUUGGAAACCAACAGAGAUCUUAAGAGAAAGUUGGAGGAAAGUGAUGCCGCCCAUGAUCAAUCAUUAUGCGGAGCUUCUUCUUCUGCAGAACAUUCCCAACAACAGCAACAACAAGGCAUGAGCUCUUAUCAAGCACACUUUUCGAUGCAAGAAUUGGUUUUCUUCAGGCCUUUACAAGGAAUGUAGCAUUGCAGAUGAGGUAUUCAUCAUAUGGAAACAGUUAAGACCAAAUGAAUUGACCUUUUAUGGUCAGCUAGAUUUAUAAUUGAGUUUUGUUUGUUUUUAUGAAACGAUCAUUAUUACAAUCGUUCAGUAUAUAUUUGCAGGUUCUGUACCAAUGGUUAUAUAUAAUUGACUACUUAUACCUGAGAGGUUUACAUGGUGUUACUAUGAUUGGAAAAGUCCGUUGGUUGGUCUGUGAAUUAAUAUCGAAUGACUUAUAGUAUUAAUUAAGUUGUUAUAUUGUUAAUA